rnacentral:rRNA from 1 species
GAAUCAACGCUGGCGGCGUGCCUCAGACAUGCAAGUCGAACGCGAAAGUCCCCUUCGGGGGACAAGUAGAGUGGCGCACGGGUGAGUAACACGUAGGUAAUCUACCUUCGGGUGGGGAAUAACCCCGGGAAACCGGGGCUAAUACCGCAUAAUGCAGCGGCACCUAAUGGUGACAGUUGUUGAAGCGGGGGAUCGCAAGAUCUCGCGCCUGAAGAGGAGCCUGCGGCGGAUUAGCUAGUUGGUAGGGUAAUGGCCUACCAAGGCGACGAUCCGUAACCGGCCUGAGAGGGCGGU